rnacentral:rRNA from 1 species
AUGGAACGCUGGCGGCAUGCCUUACACAUGCAAGUCGAACGGUAACAGGUCUUCGGAUGCUGACGAGUGGCGAACGGGUGAGUAAUACAUCGGAACGUGCCCGAUCGUGGGGGAUAACGGAGCGAAAGCUUUGCUAAUACCGCAUACGAUCUACGGAUGAAAGCAGGGGACCGCAAGGCCUUGCGCGGACGGAGCGGGCGAUGGCAGAUUAGGUAGUUGGUGGGAUAAAAGCUUACCAAGCCUACGAUCUGUAGCUGGUCUGAGAGGACGACCAGCCACACUGGGACUGAGACACGGCCCAGACUCCUACGGGAGGCAGCAGUGGGGAAUUUUGGACAAUGGGCGAAAGCCUGAUCCAGCCAUGCCGCGUGCAGGAUGGAGGCCUUCGGGUUGUAAACUGCUUUUGUACGGAACGAAAAGCCUCUUUCUAAUAAAGAGAGGUCAUGACGGUACCGUAAGAAUAAGCACCGGCUAACUACGUGCCAGCAGCCGCGGUAACAC